GGACAACUGAUUCAAAACUUAUCACACAGUUUAUGUGGAAUGACGAAAAUAAAAGGAAACUGCAUAAAGAAUAGAACUGUAAUGUGCGUACUUCGCAGUCGUCAUUCCUCUUGAUGAAACAAAGCUAUUCGGAGCUUCUAAUCUUGGAUUAAAAUUGCACAGUUGACUAUUCAAUGUAUAUUAGACUGAACAUGUGCAACACAAAGAAAUCUCAGGAAACGGGAGAGCAAAUAAUGCGGAUGAAAUGAACUGCGAUCUGGUCCCAUCAACUGCCAACUAAUCAGUUGUUCCUGUCCUAAAGGAUGAAAAUGUGCAACAGUAAAAGGAGCAAAACCUUGAUGAGUGAGGGUUUGAAAAAACAUAUGAGAUUGAUUCGGUCGAAACUGCGAUUAAAUCUGCACGAGCAAUGUUUAGAUGUAGAAUGUAGGAUGUAGGAAAUUACUGUGUAAAAGAUAAUGUAUGAUUGAGGACAGCUUUUUAAAUAAGAAUUAAUUAUCAACAACAUAAUGUCAUUAUCCCUUAUCAUUAUCUCUUACAAAUAAAAAACAACGCUUUCACUGAUGCUGCUCCAAUG